rnacentral:rRNA from 1 species
CCGCGUGAGUGAUGAAGGUUUUCGGAUCGUAAAGCUCUGUUGUUAGGGAAGAACAAGUGCCGUUCAAAUAGGGCGGCACCUUGACGGUACCUAACCAGAAAGCCACGGCUAACUACGUGCCAGCAGCCGCGGUAAUACGUAGGUGGCAAGCGUUGUCCGGAAUUAUUGGGCGUAAAGGGCUCGCAGGCGGUUUCUUAAGUCUGAUGUGAAAGCCCCCGGCUCAACCGGGGAGGGUCAUUGGAAACUGGGGAACUUGAGUGCAGAAGAGGAGAGUGGAAUUCCACGUGUAGCGGUGAAAUGCGUAGAGAUGUGGAGGAACACCAGUGGCGAAGGCGACUCUCUGGUCUGUAACUGACGCUGAGGAGCGAAAGCGUGGGGAGCGAACAGGAUUAGAUACCCUGGUAGUCCACGCCGUAAACGAUGAGUGCUAAGUGUUAGGGGGUUUCCGCCCCUUAGUGCUGCAGCUAACGCAUUAAGCACUC